rnacentral:lncRNA from 1 species
AAAGAACUUAUUUGUCUUUUAUUCCCAUGUUUGAACUAGUAUAGGUCGGGGUUACACAUGAUGGUCACAUCACUUUAUUUAUCAUUAUUACAUUAAAUGCUCCAUUGACUAACAAUGAUGAUUCACCCGUCUAGUAUUACAUCUCUUCAUUUCAUCGUCCACUGAUACUGAUAACAUCGCUCCGAGUUGGUUGUUGGUGUGGGGAAGGUUGUUAUGAUUGUUGGGGGAAUGGUUGCUGCUGUGGGUAUGGUAUGGGAAAUUGUUGUUCGGGAAAUUGUUGUUUGCUUUGCUAGGGAAAUUGGUGUUGUUGUGGAAAUUGUUGUUGCGGUAAUUAUAUGUUCUUCCAUGAUCUUCAAAAUAAAAGACCUCGCUCUUACCGUCUCUGCAUGUCUGUCAUCAAACAUCCAUAAACUCGUUAAAAUUAAGUGAAAGGGUUCAACUUUUGGAGUAUAGUUCCUGUCGCCUUGAAGAGAAUUUCACGCGUCGUGUCACUCUACGAAUUCCACUUCGUCUUAUCACUUCAGAGAACACAACAAAGUUGGUUCCAGAAAAAAAAAUCCAUGUGUAAAGCUUUACUAAUUAUCUUGUACAAAGUUCACAUACUUAGCUCUACACAAACUGUAGAAAGUUCCAACCCUCUGCCGCAAAAAAGAAUGAAACCUUGAUAAGGAUUUGACAUGUAAAGUGAAAAAGGUGAGUCAGUUUUUUCUAAAAAUAAAAUACCAAGCACCAUGCUUUCGUGACAAACAUACGAUCUUUUGCACAACUAGCCAAACAAAUUUUGAUGAUCAAUCCUAUAUUAAACUUGUGGCUAGUGCAACCUGACAGAAUAUACAAAAUGAUCCAUUUCAGAAGCAUGCAUGCAAAAAAAUUGGAAAACGAAUGAAAAAAUUAAUCGCUAGCUGGAAUUUAAUUCAAUCAUCCCAUCCAAGCUAGUACAACCACAUUGACUUCAAUCCGACAUCUACAUAACAAGAUGUCCACAACCCAACAUGUCCAAAACAAAAAGAUAAAAAAAUGCAAAGACGGCAAGAGGUUAUGCCAUAAAUGGACUUGUGCCGAAAGAUCAUCACAAGUACAAAACACAAAUAGAAACAUCAAAGACAGGUAGUAGCAGUCAAGAGCAAUUCACCAUAAAGACACAUCCCCAUCCUUUCCCUCACCACCAUUGCAUCGGCCAGCGCCAAUGAACAGCUCGAAGGCAGCAGGAUCAAUGAUAGUGAAAGCGUUUCAUCGACUUCAUCUUGCUAAGAAAGUUCUUGCAAGGAAUGGCCAUGAAAGAAAGUGUUUAGUUAGUUCAAAUACGGAUAUCCUUAGAGCAUCCUAAUGAAUGAGAAAACCUGUGUCGGUCAUUCGUCAACAAAAUCCAUGUCAACGCGCUUGGAUGGAUCAUGCAUUCAGGAACAAAAUUCCAAGGGGGCGACCUAUAUAUACAGUUUAUUUGGUUGGUAACUCUGGUUUAGCACAAUCUUUUUUCCUUAUCCUUGUCCAUUUUAUCCCUGCAGAAAAGAGCCAAAUGAGGAAGCAAAGGGAAGUGUUUGAUUAGUUCUCCAUGAAACGAGAAUAAAUGAAUUUCGGACAAAGUAUGGCUGAACUGUGAAAUCCAUAGAUCGGCCUAACUGAAUUGGGAAACUUGUCUCCAUCAUGCAGCUGACAAAAGCCAUACUACUGAUACACUUGGCCCAUGCAACUUGCAUGCAUGAUUAUAAGGAGAACAUCCAUUAUUCUCUAAUUUAAAUGAGUAACCAUCUCGAAGUAAACAAGAUCCAGAUAUAAUGUUCAUGCUCGACGCAGGCACUAAAUAACAAUUAUUCAGGUUCAUCACUAAUCCCGAUGGUAAUCGAAGAGCGAGCGUGCCGACGAUGAUAACAUCAACCUUGGAACCAUUUCCCACACGCAUCGUCACUUCGUUCUUCACCAGCCUCCGUCUAUUUCGUAGUUCCUACUUUGGGUUGCAAAUGUGAGCAACCGAACCGGUAUCAAAUAACCAGGAACUACAACAAGAGUUGGUACGGAAAACAUCAAUAACAUAUAUAUAUAUAUAUAUAUAUCAUAUAUAUCUUGUUUGAUGUUGGCCCCUUCUUGUCGGCCAGGCUUGGGGAAAUUCUGCUUCAAGUGGCCAGUCCCGUUGCAAUAGAAGCACUCAGUUUCCGGCUUGGGCCCAGCCUUGGGUUUCUUCAUGGGAGGGACAACUACUUUGCCACUAUUCUUGGAGUUACCAUUCUUGCCCUAGCCAUUCUUAUUGAAACUAGUGGUUUUAUUGACCAUCAACACUUGAUGCUCUUUCUGGAUGUCUAACUCAGCGACUUCAAGCAUCGCAAACAGCUCGGAGACUGACUUGUUCAUCCCUUGCAUGUCAUAGUUUAGCACAAAGCUCUUGUAGCUAGGUGGUAGUGAUUGAAAAACUUUGUCAGUGAUCACUUCUGGUGAGAGCACAACUCUCAACUUAGCCAGACGGUUGUAAUACCCAGACAUUCUAAGUAUGUUCACUGACAUACCCGUUCUCGUCCAUCUUGUAAGCAAAGAAUUAUCGGAGCUCUCAUACCUCUCGAGCCAGACAUUCCUUUCAAAAAUGAACAUCAACUCCUCGAACAUCUCAUAUGCUCCAUGGCGUUCAAGAUGUCUUUUAAGUCCCAGUUCUAAGCCAUGCAACAUAGCACACUAAACUACUGAGUAGUGAUUCACAUGCACUUGCCAGGUGUUCAUAACAUCCACGGACGCCGGAGGGGCUUGCACACCAAGCGAUGCAUGAAGGACAUAAGCCUUUUGUGCAGCCGUGAGGAUAAUUCUCAGAUUACAGGCCUAGUCUACAAAGUUACUUCCAUCAUCUUUCAGCUUGGCUUUCUCUAGGAACGCAUUGAAAUUAAGGGAAGCUAUUGUGCGAGCCAUUGAUCUACAACAUAAAUUUGCAAAGUCAACUUAGACUAUUGUUCAUGAUAAAUGAGUUCAAAUAAUCAUACUACUUAAAACUCCCACUCAAAUUGACAUCCCUCCGGUCAUCCGAGUGUAUCAUGAUGAAAAUUCGCCAACCCAAGCCCGAUCAUAAUGUGAGAUGAGGUGGUUUCAAUGGUGAACAUAUCCAUGUUGAUCAUAUCUACUAUAUGGCUCAUGUUCGACCUUUCGGUCUAUUGUGUUCCGAGGCCGUGUCUGUACAUGCUAGGCUCGUCAAGUUUAACCCGAGUGUUUCGCACGUGCAACACUGGCUUGCACCCGUUGUAUGUGAAUGUAAAGUCUAUCACACCCGAUCAUCACGUGGUGCUUAGAAAUGACAAACUUCCGCAAUGGUGCACACUCGGGGAGAACACAAUUUUAUCUUGAAAUUUUAGUGAGGGAUAACUUAUAAUGCUACCAUCAUCCUAAGAAAAAUAAGAUGCAUAAAAGGAUUAACAUCACAUGCAAAUCAUAAGUGACAUGAUACGACCACCAACUUGUGCUUUUGAUCUCCAUCUCCAAUGCACCGGCAUGAUCUCCAUCGUCACCGGCACCACACCAUGAUUUCCAUCAUCAUGAUUUCCAUCAUCGUGUUGCCAUCGAGGUUGUCAAGCCAAUCGUGCUUCUACUACUAUUGCUAUCGUUUAGUGAUAAAGUAAAGCAUUACAUAGCGCUUAAUGAUUGACACGUAGGUCAUACAAUAAUUCAAGACAACCCUAUGGCUCCUGCCGGUUGUCAUAUUCAUCGACAUGCAAGUCAACACAAACUAUUACAAACAUGAGCAUCUCAUACGUCAAAAUAUAUUUCAACAUGUCUUGGGCCAUAUCACAUCACAACAUACCCUGCAAAAACAAGUUAGACGUCGUCUAAUUUGUUGUUGCAUGUUUGGCUGCUGUGUGUAUCUAAUAGGAACGGUUAUUACCUAUGCAAAACCACAACGGUGAUAUGGAAGUUGCUAUUUAACCUUCUACAAGGACUUCCUUCAUCAAAUUCGAUUCAACUAAGGUGCGAGAGACAGACACCAGCCAACCAUCUUAUGCAACAAAGUCACAUGUCUGUCAAAUGAACCGGUCUCAUGUACGUGGACAUGUAAAGUUGGUCCGGGCCGCUUCAUCCCACAAUUACGCUAAAUCAUGAAAAGAUCAAGGAAGGAAGCAAUCUGAAUAUGAACACCAAUAAACUCCUUUUUGUUCUACUCGUGAUGUCAUUUGUGCAUAGCCCUAGCUCUGGUACCACUAUUGUUGAAAGUUGCAUGGGAAACAAAAAAAUUCCUACACUCACCAAGAUCAAUCUAGGAGAUGAACAUCUACGAGAGGAGAGAUUGCAUCUACAUACCCUUGUUAAUCAUUAAGAGGAAUUGCUAAGAAACAUGGUUGAUGUAGUCAAACGUCUUCGCGAUCCAAUCAUGAUCCGUCCCGCAAACUCCUGAUCUAGUGCCAAACGGACGUCACCUAUGUGUUCAACACACGCACGGCUUGAUGAUGCCUUCACCUCCUUGAUCCAGCAAGAAAUGGAGAAGUAGUAGUUCGAGUCCUCCAACAACAUGACAGCGUGGAGGCGGUGGUGGAGGAAUUUGACCAAAGCUUCGCUAAGCACUACGUGGAAGGAGAAGGACUACGAGGGAGAGGACAUGCAGCGACACGACACAGAUGGGUCUGUCUGCCCUCCCUCUACUCCUAUAUAUAUAGGGGGAAGGGAGGAGGUGGGGAUGCCCUAUGGGUUCCCUUAGGGGGCGGCGGCCACCAUAGAUGGUGGCGCCCCUAGGGAAACCCUAGGGUGGCUUGCCCCCCAAGCUAGGUGGAGGCACCCCUAGGGGGUUGCCCCAACCCUUCUGUCAUGGCCGGUGUGCUCCCUGCCCUUGUCCCAUGAAGCGCCCCAACACUUACCGGGGCCCCCCGAAACCCCUUUCCGUACUCCGUCGAUUCCCCCGGUACCCCUGGAACAAUUCCGGACUCCGAUACCCUCCGUCCUAUAUAUUAAUCUUCACCUCCAGACCAUUCUGGAGUUCCUCGUCAUGUCGGGGAUCUCAUCCGGGAAUCCGAACAACCUUCGGUAACCACCAUAAUGACCCAACUAUACUUAUAUCGUCACCAAACGUUUAGUGUGUAGACCCUGCGGGUUCGAGAGCUAUGCAGACAUGACCGAGAGACCUCUACGGUCAAUGACCAAUAGCAUGACCUGGAUGCCCAUAUUGGUUCCUACAUAUUCUACGAAGAUCUUUAUCAGUCGAACCUCGAUGUCAAGGUUUCAGUCAAUCCGGUAUGAAGUUCCCUUUGUCCAUCGGUAUGUUACUUGCCUGAGAUCCGAUCAUCGGUAUCUCCAUACCUAGUUCAAUCUCGUUACCGGCAAGUCUCUCUAUUUCAUAAUACAAGACCCCGUGGCUAACUUCUUAGUCACAUUGCUUGCAAGCUUAUUGUGAUGUUGUAUUACCGAGUGGGCCCUGAGAUACCUCUCCAUCAUACGGAGUGACAAAUCCCAGUCUCGAUCCAUGCCUACUCAACAGACACCCUUGGAGACACCUGUAGAGCAUCUUUAUAGUCACUCAGUUACGUUGCAAUGUUUGAUACACACAAGGCACUCGUCCGGUGUCAGUGAGUUGCAUGAUCUCAUGGUCAUAGGAACAGAUAAUUGACAUGCAGAAAACGAUAGCAAUAAACUUGACAAGAUCAUAUGCUACAUUCAUAGUUUGGGUCUUGUCAAUCACAUCAUUCUCCUAAUGAUUUGAUCACAUUAUCAAAUGACAACUCAUGUCCAUGACCCGGAAACCAUGGCCAUCUUUGAUCAACGAGCUAGUCUGGUAGAGGCUCACUAUGUCACACGUUGUUUGUCUAUGUACCCACACAUAUAUUUGAGUUUCCAAUCAAUAAAAUUAUAGCAUGGAUAAUAAACGAUUAUAAUGAACUAGGAAAUAUAAUAAUAACCAUUUUAUUAUUGCCUCCAGGGCGUAUUUCCGACACUUCCGAUGAUUUGUGAGUAGUUUAUGACAGCCCUUCGGGUCUAUAGCUAGAAUCUAGAUGGCUUCUGCUCUCUCUUUGAACUUCAAUCCAAAGUUCUUCUCAAUGUUCUUGGAAUUCUAUCCAAUGUAAUCUUCUUUUGCGGUGUGUUUGCUGGGAUCUGAUAAAUUAUGAGUUUAUUAUCAGAUGAUUCAUGAGAAUAUUUGAGUCUUCUCUGAACUCUUUUAUGCGUGAUUAUUUUAUCUUUGUAUUUCUCUCCAAUCUAUCGAUUUGGUUUGGCCAACUAGAUUGGUUUAUCUUGCAGUGGGAGUGGUGCUUUUGUGAUGGGUUCAAUCCUGUGUUGCUCAAUCAUAGUGACAGAAAUGGACAUGGCACAUAUUUUUAUUGUUGACAUUAAGGAUAAAAAGAUGGGGGUUAAUCAUAUUGCUUGAAUUUACUUUGUCUACAUCAUAUCAUCUUGCUUAAGGUGUAACUCUAUUUUAUACCUAAAACUCUAGAUGCAUGCUGGAUAGCGGUCGAUGGGUGAAGUAUAGUAAUAGAUGCAGGCAGGAGUCGGUCUACUUGCAUCGAAUGUGAUGCCUAUAUACAUGAUCAUUGCCAUGAAUCCAUCAUAAUUAUUUGAUUUUCUAUCAAUUUCCCAUCAACAAUUUGUUUACCCACUAUAUGUUCUGCCAUCAAGAGAGAAGCAUCUAGUAAAAACUAUGGCCCCUGGGUGUACUUUUAUCAUAUAUAAAAACACAAAAAUACCUAGCUGCAAUUUAUUUACUUUUAUUUUAUUUUGUAUUUUACUUUAUCCAUCUAUCACUACCAGAAUUAAUCAUUGCAAAUAACCUCUACGAGGAUUGACAAGCCUCUUAUUUGCGUUAGGUGUCAGUGUUUGCUUUUGUGUGUGCAGGUGCUGUUAACAAGUUUUUGUGUGGUUCACCUACUGGAUUGAUAACCUUGAGUCUUAACUUAGUGAAAUACUUAUUUGUACUAUACUGCAUCAUCCUCUCCUCCUCGGGGAAUUAACAACACAGUCUACAAGUAGCACUCUCCAUUGAAAUGUUAAAUUGUAAUUAGUCCUUACUCCCAAAUUAAUAAUACUUCAAUUUGAAACAAGUUUCGGACAUGUUAAUUAUGUUAUGUUCAUAUAAUACUACACUUCAUAAAUAAGUAGACGUCGCAUAACAUUGAGAUUGUAGUUAGGUAUGGAAAUCAAAAUAUGGCAUGAAUGUAACAAUUGCCAGCAAUGUGCUUCAGAAAAGAACUUAUUUGUCUUUUAUUCCCAUGUUUGGACUAGUACGGGUCGGUGUUACACAUGAUGGUGCACAUCACUUUAUUUAUCAUCGUUAACAUUAUGCUCCAUUGACUAAGAACCAUGAUUCACCCGUCUAGUAUUACAUCUCUUCAUUUCAUAGGCCAUUGAUACUUAUAACGUCGCUCCCAAAUGGUUGUUGUUGUGGAUAUUGGUUGUAUGGGGAAGGUUCUUGUGAUUGCUGGCGUGGGUAUGGUAUUGGAAAUUGUUGUUGGGGGAAUUGUUGUGGUUGUUGCUGUGGGAAUUGUUGUUGGGGGAAUUGUUGUUGUUCAGGGGAUUGUUGUGGCUGGGGGAAUUAUUGUUGUGGUAAUUGUUGUUGUUGGGGGAACUCUUGUUGUUGGAGGAAUUGCUGUUGGGGGAAUUGUUGCUGGGGAAAUUGUUGUUGCGGUAAUUGUUGUUGGGGGAACUGUUGUUGCGGGAAUUACUGUUGGGGGAAUUGNNNNNNNNNNNNNNNNNNNNNNNNNNNNNNNNNNNNNNNNNNNNNNNNNNNNNNNNNNNNNNNNNNNNNNNNNNNNNNNNNNNNNNNNNNNNNNNNNNNNNNNNNNNNNNNNNNNNNNNNNNNNNNNNNNNNNNNNNNNNNNNNNNNNNNNNNNNNNNNNNNNNNNNNNNNNNNNNNNNNNNNNNNNNNNNNNNNNNNNNNNNNNNNNNNNNNNNNNNNNNNNNNNNNNNNNNNNNNNNNNNNNNNNNNNNNNNNNNNNNNNNNNNNNNNNNNNNNNNNNNNNNNNNNNNNNNNNNNNNNNNNNNNNNNNNNNNNNNNNNNNNNNNNNNNNNNNNNNNNNNNNNNNNNNNNNNNNNNNNNNNNNNNNNNNNNNNNNNNNNNNNNNNNNNNNNNNNNNNNNNNNNNNNNNNNNNNNNNNNNNNNNNNNNNNNNNNNNNNNNNNNNNNNNNNNNNNNNNNNNNNNNNNNNNNNNNNNNNNNNNNNNNNNNNNNNNNNNNNNNNNNNNNNNNNNNNNNNNNNNNNNNNNNNNNNNNNNNNNNNNNNNNNNNNNNNNNNNNNNNNNNNNNNNNNNNGGUGGGGGGAUUUUUGUGGUUGCUGGGGGAUUUGAUGAUGUUGGGGGAUUUUUUGUUGGGGGAUUAGUUGUUGGGGGAAUUGUUGUUGUUGGGGGAAUUGUUGUGGUUUCUGGUGGAUUUGAUGUUGUUGGGGGAUUUGUUGUUGGGGGAAUUGUUGUGGUUGGGGGAAUUGUUGUUGUUGAGGGAAUUGUUCUUGUGGAGUAUGCAAUUCCUUGCCUCUAGGGCUUAGCUGCCUACUGGCACUAGCGAUGUUCAUCACCAUGGCAAGGAGGACAAAUAUGAUGAAGGUCUUCAUGUUUGAUUUGUGUUUACUAUUGCUCACUUCGCUUUGGUGUUUCAGCUCUAGGUGCUUGAUGGUUAGAUGAUGGAAGAGACCCUCAUGGUAUAGUCGUAUUUAUAGCUGGCAUCGCACAUUUGUUUUUGAUCUUCACACUCGCUUCUUGAAAAAGUGCUCUUAAGCUUACUGACCUAAUAAUUUGCUAUGUUGUGUUUGAUGGCACUACUGUCACGACCGGUUUUCCAAUAAAACAUUUAUUGAGAAACUGACCCUUUUACCAGACCGGUAUAGGAAAAUCUUCCUUACCAGUAGACAAAAUGUUCAGUAGUACUAAAUGUUAUACAAGGUUGAGCUGAGGCUGCUCAACAAUUUUAUUACAAGCGCGCCGAUAUUAUACAUAAGGGCGGAUAUGGCACACGGUGUAUGGUGGCAUACUACUGACUCGCAAUAAAAGUGGUGGUGGAUAUCUCACAGUGAAGUGGAUGACAUGACUCCUAAUCUUACAGCUCAUCGGGCGUCGAAGUGAGGCUCGAUGGUUUAUUUGGGUACCGGAAGCGUAUAUGAUACAAGCGACCAAUUCCAGGAUCGCACGGGACUGACUGGGACUCCUCUAGGCGUCGGACUCGCUAUCGUACUCUUCAUCCAUAAGAUCGCCUUCGUCGAUAUCUGGCCAAAUCAACAAGCCAAGUGAGUACAUUGAAUGUACUUGCAAGGCAAUUUGGACACAGAUAUAACAGAUGCAAACAUGAUGCACAUGAGCAGAUUAGUAAUGCACACUUAAAUAGAAUCUCAAUAAAAGUAACUGAAAACCAAUCGGGUGUCUGAAGCGACGCCUCGAAAGGUAAAAAUAAAUUAACAUGCCGCAGUCGGGCGUCUGAGCGACACAACAUAAAGGGCUUAUAUUGAAAUUUAAAUGACAGUGCGUGCCACAGUCAGACGUCUACGCGACAUCUCGGAAAGGGCUUUUAUUGAAAGUAAAUAACAGUGCGUGCCACAGUCGGACGUCUAUGCGACAUCUCGGAAAGGGCUUAUGAUGAAAAUAAAUAACAUGGAUGCCACAGUCGGAUGUCUGAGCGACAUCACAUAAAGGGCUUAUAACAAAAAUAAACAACAAGAAUGCCACAGUCGGACGUCUACGCGACGUCACAUAAAGGGCUUAUAACAAAGAUAACCAACAAGAAUGCCAGUGUCGGACGUCUACGCGAUGUCACAUAAAGGUCUAUAUUUCAUCAUCCAAACUCAAGUCGUUCAUGAAAUUAUGUCACUUCAAGAAAAUACUCAGUAAUAAUAAACAGGUUAGUCCAUCCAGAUGAAUAACAUUCAACCGGGCUUACCACUCAUGUCUGUUCACCGGAGAUUGUCACUGAAACUGACACUGAGACUGACAUAGAUAAGUUGAUUAUAGUCCUUGACCAUAGAUACGGUUACUUGAAUGAUUUUGACUCUGCAGAGUUUGUACUAUUUAACCACAGCCAACGGAUACCAGUAGUCACAACAGACUAGUUCCAUUUACGGUAUUUCAGAGGAAACUCAUCUAACCAGUACACAGCCAUUCCGCAUCCCGAUGCCAGGAAUCACCCUAGGCAACGUUCAAGAAAAACUUUGAGACGGGGAGGCCACAACCUCGAGUAGCAUGGGAUCAAAUUUAUAUCGCGCGCUCUAAGGGGUGCCCCCCUCUCGGUCCCAACCGGAAACACCCAUGCCCCCUGAUCGGAUGACUGGCUUUAAUCCAGGGCCAUGGAACCCUCAUCACGGCCCCUCUAUUUGGUGUGUACGAGGAAAGAGGUUUGCAACCUACUAAACCAUAUUCUUUGCAGAAAACAUGUGGUAGCACACAAAAAAGGGGACGGACGGUAACGUGACUUGAUCCACGUUAACACUGGAGUCGAACGGUUUUGCAUAAGACUGGCAUGCUUCAACAAUACCAUCUUACCACCUUUCAUGUCACCAAAUGAUUAGGUUAUCUCCCAUCAAAUAACACAUCGAGGUUCGAAGCUCACUUGUAGUUACUUUGCAUGCAAUAUAACACUUAUCGAUGCUUAUGUAAACAUGUCAUGAAAUAACUACUCAAGCAAACAUGCAAAGCACUCAUCAUAUCAAAGGUUCAAACAUGCUUGCCUGGUUCGGAGUAGUCGGAGUCUAGCUCGGUGAAGUUCGCGGUUCCGUCACCUCCGUCGGUAUCUACGAUAUAAAGAAAUCGCAUACUAACGUAAAUACCGUGUGUGCACAAAAAGCGUUUCAAAUAUUUUUCAAAUAAAUAUGAUAAAAAAUUAGACCGAAAAAUAAGGAUGACAGAAAAAGAAUCAAUUCAAAAUCACCUUUUGUUUAAAAGUUAUUAAGGUUUUUGUCCAGGGACUCAUCUGUAAUGAAACAGAAAGUUUCCACGGGGUAGUUUAUAAAAACAGAAAACGUUUCGACUAGAAACACGCCAACCCCAAAGGAAAACGUAUUUUGCCCGAAGGCGUUUCCAGAAAACAGUUCGAAAAAAAAGAGAAAAAGCUGACUAGGGGGUCCACCCGUCAGGUUUGAAUUUCAAACAGAGUCACCGGCGCCCGAGGGCUGCGGUGGUCGCCGGCGGCGAUCCACGGCGAGGUAGGGGGAAAGGAGGGUACCUACGGGUUCACUGGGUCCUUCCGCACCUGUGGGUGGGGGAGUUGGUCACCGGCGGGUGCCACGUCGACGGCGACCUCUACUCCGGCGGACGGUGGUUCGGGUGGUCAUGGGUCUCGUCGAGGAGGGCUGCAAAUUUCAAAUUGGAGCUUGGGUUAGCUGUGCAGGUGCACUAGGAGGCGACUGGCACGGUCUGGGAGGCGGGGGUGGUCUCACCCGAAGGAAUCGUGCUGGAUCCCGAGGCGGAUCGGGGUGGCCGGAGUCGGGGAAGAAGGCCUCCCCGCGGUCUUCCUAGUAGCUAGGCGUGGCUCUGGUGAGGUGUAGGAGUGGUGCUGGGUUGAAGGCGAGCUCGAGGCUCCCUUUUAUAGCCGAUCCGAGGCGGUGGCAGAGAACGGGAUAACUCAGGCGAUGAUUACGGCGAGGCAGAGGGUGGGCAGGUGGAUUAGGUGGCUAGGCGACUGCGGAUUGGUCCACUGGUUCCAUUCCCGGGCUAAGCUGCGCAAAACUUGGGCGCUACUCCACGCUCUCGACGGAACGGCCUCACGGGGCUCGGCGGCGGCAGAGAGCAUGCUCUGCGCUGCUCAGGCCACAGCGACGGUGCCGCAGCGUGCACAGGCAAGCGGACAGCCACGCGGAGGCUUCGGGUGGCUUGGGCGGUGCUGGACAGUGCCGAAAGGUGGUGCUGGUCCCUGCUGGCCGCCACGGGUGGCUCUGCACCGCAGAAGUUGCCGGCGAUGAGGUGGCACGUCGCCACUGACACCUGCACCCGUCCAAACGAUCAUGCAGCGCUCCGGAUAAGGAGAAGGAGCAGUGAGCAUCGUGCCAACGCGGGCACUGGCGAGAUUGACGCCGAGGCUCUGAAGAAAACGACGCUGUCGUCUGAACCCAACACUAAAUCUCUGAACUUUACUGAAUAUUGCCAGAAACAGUGCACGCCAGGUGUUUGAUGAAUUGUUUUUGCCAUGUGGAAAAGCUUUCUGGAGUUGAUCUUUGGUGAGGUGGCCUCUCAAUGCAUCAAGGGGUGGCCUGAUUUAUCUCAGAAUUUUUGGAGAAGGAAAAGCAUGAAUUUCACCAAAUUUGGCAAUUCUGGUUCAAACUUGCAGCAAGCAAAAUUUGAAAAUUUUGAAUUGUGGAAGAGUGGAUCUUGAUGGAUCUAGGUUGAGGGUGCUAAGGACUAGUCAGGGGAGUUUGUUUGGGACCAAAACACAAAAGGGUUCUGGUGGUUCCUUUCUAAAUCACCUAGGUCCAAAAUAAAUGACAGAAAUUGUUUUGAGGAUAAAAUAAAUAGAAUAAAAAUCAAAAAUGGGUUGCACCUGCUGGGAUUGGAUGUUUGACAUGACAAAAAGUGGAGGGAGGGGUUUUGGAGUAAAUUUUUCAACCUAGGUCAUGGCAAGAAAUUUUUUGAAUGAGGAAGGAUUAAUCCAUAAGUCAUUAAAAGAAAGUAUUUCAAAACCUUUCCCAAAAGAAAAUAUUUGUGUUGAGCCAACACAAUUUUGAAAAACCCUUAAGACUAAAGAUCAAGGUUUAGAAGGUCCUUUCAAAAGUUUGUCAUAAAAGAUUUUGAGAAGGAGAGUCCCUCAAAAAAAUAAUUCAAAUAACCUCCUUUAAAUCAAAUAAAGAUUUUAAUAAAAAUCCACAUCAAAAUUUUGGGGCGUUACAGCACCUACCCCCUUAGGAAAAAUCUCGUCCCUGAGAUUUCAGCUGGUCCUCAAAUAGGUGUGGGUGUCCUGUCUGAAGAAAAUCCUCUCUUUCCCACGUUGCUUCAUCCUCGGUGUGAUUGCUCCACUGAACUUUAAAAAACUUUAUUGUUUUCUGACGGGUCCUCCUUUCAGACUUCUCCAAUAUUCUUAUUGGACGUUCCUUGUAUGUGAGGUCUGGUUGCAUGUCAAUGUCCUCAUGAGAUACAUGCUUCUCUGGGUUGCUUACACAUUUCCUCAACUGUGAGAUGUGGAACACGUUGUGGACGUCUGACAGUUCUUCGGGUAGGUCUAGCUGGUAGUCUACUGUGCCUCUUCGCGCGACUACGCAGAAGGGUCCGAUAAAUCUUGGUGCUAGCUUUCCUUUAACUUUGAACCAUUGCAGGCCCCUCAUAGGGGAUACUCGUAGGUACACAUAUUCACCGGGUUCAAAGCUUACUCCCCGAUGUUUUCGAUCGUAAUAACACUUCUGUCAGCUUUGAGCUGUCUUGAGUCGGUCCCUGAUUAGCCUAACUUUCUCCUCAGCCUCCUUGAGCAUGUCUGGGCCGAAGAUACGACUGUCUCCUGUUUCUGACCAAUUUAAUGGGGUACGACAUCUCCGCCAGUACAAGGCUUCAAAAGGUGCCAUUUGUAGGCUGGCUUGGUAACUGUUGUUGUAGGCGAACUCGGCAUAUGGCAAGCUUUCCUCCCAACUGGUUCCAUAGGUGAGAACACAUGCUCUCAUCAUGUCCUCUAGAAUUUGGUUCACGCGUUCAGUUUGCCCAUCAGUCUGGGGGUGGUAUGCUGUACUGAAUGCCAGUUGAGUUCCCAGAGCUUGUUGUAAUUGAUCCCAAAAUCUAGAGACGAACUGAGUGCCUUGCUCGGAUAUUAUCGUCUUUCGAAUUCCAUGCACACAACUAUACGGGAGAGAUAAAGCUUGGCAAGCUUCUGAGUGGUGUGGGUUGUGUUUACUGGGAUGAAAUGUGCUACCUUAGUCAAUCUAUCUGUGAUGACCCAUAUGGCAUCAUUUCCGUAUCGUGACCGAGGUAGUCCGACAAUAAAAUCUAUUCCAAUUUUGUCCCAUUUCCACUCAGGUAUCUUGUUUGGCUGUAAUAGCCCUGUUGGUUUUUGGUGUUCGGCUUUAAUGCGCUGGCAUGAAUCACAACAUGAAAUGAAUGUGGCUAUAUCCCUUUUCAUACCAUGCCACCAAAAUUUUUCCUGAAUGUCCUUGUACAUAUUGGUCCCUCGAGGAUGGAUUGAAUAUGGAGCGGUGUGGCCUUCGGCUAAAAUUUGCUAUUUGAGGUCUUCUACAUUUGGUAUGCAAAGUCCGUCUCCGUACCAUAACAUUCCCUUAUCGUCUAUGACGAAUUCCGAGGCCUUGCCCAAACUCACUUUUCUUUUUAUGCCUUCGAUGCUGGGGUGUCCAUGCUGAGCCUCCUUAAUCUAUUCUAUUAGGGUGGGUUGUAUUUCCAACUUCGACACAUUGCCUUCAGUGACCAUUACCAAGUUGAGUUUAGCGAACUCGUGCUGAAAUUCAGGUCUCAAGUUUGGUAGACUGUCGUUGCCCGAGCUGGGGUUCUGACUAAGAGCAUCUGCCACUACAUUUGCUUUUCCCGGGUGGUAGUGGAUGCCAACAUCAUAAUCUUUUACUAAUUCCAACCAACACCGUUGUCACAAAUUGAGCUCUGGUUGUGUGAAAAUAUACUUCAGGCUUUUAUGGUCCGUAUACAUUUCACAACGAUCCCAAGCAAAAAGUGCCUCCACUCUUUGAGUGCAUGAAUGACUGCUGCCAACUAUAAGUCAUGAGUAGGAUAAUUUUCUUCAUGCUUCCGUAGUUGCCUGGAAGCGUAUGCGACUACUUUGCCUUCCUGCAUUAAUACGCACAAGAGGCCCUUCCGGGAUGCAUCACAAUACACUUCGAAACUUUUGUGUAUGUCUGGCACAAUCAAUACUGGUGUUGUUGUUAAUUUCCUUUUGAGUUCUUGGAAGCUUUUCUCGCAAGCUUCAGUCCACACAAAUUUCUUAUCCUUCUUGAGUAACUCUGUCAUUGGUUUUGCUAUGGUGGAGAACCCUUCAAUAAACCUUCGGUAAUAUCCUGCCAUUCCUAGGAAACUUCGUACAUCUAUUAUGCUGGCUGGUGGUUUCCAUCCAAGUACGACCUUGACUUUUUCUAGGUCUACGGCAACACCUUCUUGGGUCAAUACAUGGCCUAGGAAACCAACCUAUCUUAACCAAAAUUCACAUUUGCUAAACUUGGCGUAUAAUUGAUGUUUCCUUAAUUCUCCCAGUACAAUCCUGAGAUGUUCAGCAUGCUCUUCUGGUGUCUUGGAGUAUACCAGAAUAUCAUCGAUGAACACCACAACAAAUUUGUACAUAAAUUUCAUAAACACUUUGUUCAUGAGGUGGACAAAAUAUGUGGGGGCGUUCGUCAGUCCAAACGGCAUUACUGUAAACUCAUACAGUCCGUAUCUGGAGGUGAAUGCUGUCUUGGGGAUAUCUUCUGUCCGUACUUUUAAUUGAUUGUACCCCGACCUUAAAUCAAUUUUUGAGAAAACCUUAGCUUGCGCAAGCUGGUCAAAUAAAUCAUUUAUCCGAGGCAUCGGAUAUUUGUUUUUGAUGGUAACCAUGUUGAGUGGUCGAUAGUCGAUACAUAAUCUCAGUGUCCCGUCGUUCUUCUUGGCAAAUAAAACUGUUGAUCCCCAAGGUGAGGAGCUGGCUCGAAUAAAUCCUUUGUCCAGUAAUUCUUUUAUUUGCUUCUUUAAUUCUACCAGUUCAGAGGGUGCCAUUCUAUAGGGUUUCUUAUAAAUGGGGGUGGUUCCAGGUGCUAGUUCAAUGAUAAACUCUAUCUCUCAGUCUGGUGGCAUGCCUGGUAGUUCUUCAGGAAAUACGUCAGGGAACUCACAUACCACUGGGACUUUGCUUAACUCUGAAACGUCCACCUUGUUCAACCUUGGUUGCCGUGACCUCGGUCUUUCUUGAGCUGCAACUUUUAUCGUCUUCCUGUGAUGAUGGGCAAGAAUUACAGUCUGAUUGGAGAAGUCGAUAAACCCCUUGUUGGUGGUUAACCAGUCCAUUCCUAGGAUAACAUCCAGUCCCUUAUUUUCCAAUACAAUGAGGUUUGCCUGAAACUUUAAUCCUUCAAACUCAAUAACCACACCUUGGAAGUAACUCUGAUUGAUUUUCUUAAUCCCGGGGGACUUGAUGAUCAUGGAUUUUUCCAAGGAAAAGCAUUGAAAAAUCAUGUUGCAAAGCAAAUUUCUUUGAAAUGAAUGAGUGAGAAGCUCCAGAAUCAAACAAAACCGUGGCAGGUAUUGUGUUGACAGGGAACGUACCGAGUACGAUAUCUGGGGCAUUCUGUGCUUCCCCCUUGGUCACAUGGUUCAGGUGACCCUUCCUAUGUUGUUUAUUGGGGCUGAAGUUUUUUCUCUUGGGCGUUGAAUUAUUGCCACCGUUGUUCGACUUAGGGGCCGAGUUUCUUGGCUUUGGACACUGUUUGGCAUAGUGUCCUUCUUCUCCACAAUCGUAGCAAGUAACACCUGGGCGGUAUGUAAAAUCCUUGUCCCUUGCAUGAAAAUUUUUGUUUGGGCGUGGAACAUUGCCUAUAUACAUGAUCAUUUCCAUGAAUACGCCAUAUUUAUUUGCUUUUCUAUCAAUUUCCCAACAGCAAUUUGUUUACCCACCAUAUGUUCUGCGAUCAACAGAGAAGCAUCUAGUAAAAACUAUGGCCCCUGGGUAUACUUUUAUCAUAUAUAAAAACACAAAAAUACCUAGCUGCACUUUAUUUACUUUUAUUUUAUUUUGUAUUUUACUUUAUCCAUCUAUCACUAUCAGAAUUAAUCAUUGCAAAUAACCUCUACGAGGAUUGAAAAGCCUCUUAUUUUCGUUGGGUGUUAGUGUUUGCUUUUGUGUGUGCAGGUGCUGUUAACAGGGUUUUGUGUGGUUCACCUACUAGAUUGAUAACCUUGAUUCUUAACUUAGUGAAAUACUUAUUCGUACUAUACUCCAUCAUCCUCUCCUCCUCGGGGAAUUAACAACACAGUCUACAAGUAGCACUGUCCAUUGAAAUGUUAAAUUGUAAUUACUCCUUGCUCUCGAAUUAAUAGUACUUCAAUCUGAACCAAGUUUUGGACACGUUAUAAUUAUGUUAUGUUCAUAAUACUACACUUCAUAAAUAAGUAGACGUCGCAUAACAUUGAGAUUGUAGUUAGGGAUGGAAAUCGAAAUAUGGCAUGAAUGUAACAAUUGCCAGCAAUGUGCUUCAGAAAAGAACUUAUUUCUCUUUUAUUCCCAUGUUUGAACAUACAGGUCGGGGUUACACAUGAUGGUGCACAUCACUUUAUUUAUCAUCGUUACAUUAUGCUCCAUUGACUAACAACGAUGAUUCACCCGUCUAGUAUUACAUCUCUUCAUUUCAUCGGCCACUGAUACUUAUAACGUUGCUCCCAUAUGGUUGUUGUUGUGGAUAUUGUUGGUAUGGGGAAGGUUCUUGUGAUUGUUGGGGUGGGUAUGGUAUUGGAAAUUGUUGUUGGGGAAAUUGUUGUGAUGGUUGCUGGGGGAAUUGUUGUUGGGGGAAUUAUUGUUGUUCAGGGAUUUGUUGUUGCGGUAAUNN